rnacentral:lncRNA from 1 species
GGUGGCAGAGGUUGCAGUGAGCCGUGACUACACCACUGCACUCCAGCUUGGGCAACAGAGUGAAACUGUCUCAAAAUAAAUAAAGUAAUUAAUUAAAUUAAAUUAAAUUAGACCCACCUGCAGAUUUGCCAGGAGCCCCUGGCACAGCCCCAGACAUUUGUCUCUGCUCCCCAAUUUGCCACCCUGGAAAUGGUCCCAUGCUGCUGGUCCUGGCUGUCAAAGGCCUGUAAUGACACAGGCAGCACAGGCGCUUGGUUGAGGCUGCAUGUCGGAGACAGUCACAGAGGUGACAGGCAGCAGCCAGAGUGCCAACAUGGCACAGAUGCCUCCUCACAGCAACCUGCCAGACUGGUACCUGCCCAGGCCCCACAUCCAUGUCCAUGGGAUUCCAUCAGGUGGAGGGAGGGGAGGAGACCCCAUAGUUGGACUCAGGGACUGCGAAACCUCGGCCUUAGAGGAAGUUUACACAACAGCCCAGAGGCCCCAAAGGGCCACAUGGCUCCAGACCCACCCGAUCUCUUCUGCCUCUGCCUCUCAGGGAAGGGAGCCAGGCUGAACGGACUAAGACAACAGGGGCAUGGCAUGGGCCCUGGAACAGCCACAGUCCUCACAGGAAGGCAUGACCAGCCAAAAGCCUUGAAGGGUGGGCCACCCAUGGGGGUUAGGUGACCAUUCUCAGUGCAGGCUUGGGAGCUGGGCAGCUGCCCAGACAGCAGGAGUAGGGGCAUGCUUGGCCCCCACAUGAACCUUGCAUCGUACCCACAAGAGUCCCCAGACAGCAGCCCCGAAAUCGUGGUCUAGGGAGGUUUUGAUGGCAGCAAAGGCUGAUGCGGCAGAGCAGGGUCUGUACCUCAGGGCCAUCAGUUGAGCUGUGAGUGACCUGCAAGAUUCAGACCUUCUAAGGCCGAAAGCAAGCAGAGGGGCAGAGGCAAUGCAGGCAGAGCCCCUCCUAAGCAACUCACAGCGCCCCAGUCCUCGCUGGGGCACCCACUGUAGGUGCUGUACGUUCACUUCACUCUCCGCCUGCAGAGGGUCCCAGCAACUGGUCCCAGCCCCUCCCCAAGGCCUCACAGCACCACAUGAUGCAUUACUUUCCUUAUUGCUUCGGUAACAAGUCACCACAAACCUAGUGGCUUAAAACAACACAGAUUUAUUCUCUUUCAGUUUUUUGGUUUUGUUUGUUUGUUUUGAGACAGUCUCGCUCUGUCCCUCAGGCUGGAGUGCAGUGGUGCGAUCUCGGCUCACCACAAGCCCCGCCUCUCAGUGCAUGCCAUUCUCCUGCCUCAGUCUCCUGAGUAGCUGGGAUUACUCGUCUCAAAAAAAAAAGGAAACUCAAGAUAAUGGGCUGGGCGCGGGGGCUCACGCCUGCGAUCCCAGCACUUUGGGAGGUCAAGGUAGGAGGAUCACCUGAAGUUAGGAGCUGGAGACCAGCCUGGCCAACAUGGUGAAACCCUGUCUCUACUAAAAAUACAAAAAUUAGCCAGGUGUGGUGGCGGGUGCCUAUAGUCCCACCUACUCAGGAGGCUGAGGCAGCAGAAUCGCUUGAACCUGGGAGGCGGCGGCUGCAGUGAGCCAAUCAUGCCACUGCACUCCAGCCUGGGCAACAGAGCAAGACUCCAUCUCAAAAAAAAAAAAAAAAA